GGCAAACAAAAGCCUCGCCUGUUUACCAAAAACAUCGCCUCUUGCCUUACUAGUAUAAGAGGUCCCGCCUGCCCUGUGACUAUAUGUUUAACGGCCGCGGUACCCUAACCGUGCGAAGGUAGCGCAAUCACUUGUCUUUUAAAUGAAGACCUGUAUGAAUGGCACCACGAGGGCUUAACUGUCUCCUUUUUCCAGUCAAUGAAAUUGAUCUCCCCGUGCAGAAGCGGGGAUAAAAACAUAAGACGAGAAGACCCUGUGAAGCUUUAAGACGAUGGCCAGCCCAAUCUAAUGACCCCCGCUAAAAGGACUAAAGCACAGGGCCCUGUCCUUAUGUCUUUGGUUGGGGCGACCACGGAGAAACAAAAAACCCCCCUGUGGAUUAGGAGCACACCACUCUUAUCCCUCCUGCAAUUAAGAGCCACAGCUCAAAACAGCAAAACCUUUGACCAAACAUGAUCCGGCAACGCCGAUCAACGGACCAAGUUACUCCAGGGAUAACAGCGCAAUCCCCUUCUAGAGUUCAUAUCGACAAGGGGGUUUACGACCUCGAUGUUGGAUCAGGACAUCCUAAUGGUGCAGCCGCUAUUAAGGGUUCGUUUGUUCAACGAU
rnacentral:rRNA from 1 species